rnacentral:rRNA from 1 species
ACUUAAGCAUAUCAAUAAGCGGAGGAAAAGAAACCCACCCGGGAUUGCCCUAGUAACGGCGAGUGAAGCGGCAAGAGCUCAAAUUUGAAAGCUGGCCCCCUCGGGGUCCGCAUUGUAAUUUGCAGAGGAUGCUUCGGGAGCGGUCCCCAUCUAAGUGCCCUGGAACGGGCCGUCAUAGAGGGUGAGAAUCCCGUAUGGGAUGGGGUGCCCGCGCCCGUGUGAAGCUCCUUCGACGAGUCGAGUUGUUUGGGAAUGCAGCUCUAAUUGGGUGGUAAAUUUCAUCUAAAGCUAAAUAUUGGCCGGAGACCGAUAGCGCACAAGUAGAGUGAUCGAAAGAUGAAAAGCACUUUGAAAAGAGAGUUAAACAGCACGUGAAAUUGUUGAAAGGGAAGCGCUUGCGAUCAGACUCGCCCACGGGGUUCAGCCGGCAUUCGUGCCGGUGUACUUCCCCGCGGGCGGGCCAGCGUCGGUUUGGGCGGUCGGUCAAAGGCCCCUGGAAUGUAACGCCUCUCGGGGCGUCUUAUAGCCAGGGGUGCCAUGCGACCUGCCCGGACCGAGGAACGCGCUUCGGCUCGGACGCUGGCAUAAUGGUCGUAAGCGACCCGUCUUGAAACACGGACCAAGGAGUCUAACAUCUACGCGAGUGUUCGGGUGUCAAACCCGUGCGCGCAGUGAAAGCGAACGGAGGUGGGAACCCUCACGGGUGCACCAUCGACCGAUCCUGAUGUCUUCGGAUGGAUUUGAGUAAGAGCGUAGCUGUUGGGACCCGAAAGAUGGUGAACUAUGCCUGAAUAGGGCGAAGCCAGAGGAAACUCUGGUGGAGGCUCGCAGCGGUUCUGACGUGCAAAUCGAUCGUCAAAUUUGGGUAUAGGGGCGAAAGACUAAUCGAACCAUCUAGUAGCUGGUUCCUGCCGAAGU